rnacentral:rRNA from 1 species
AGAGUUUGAUCCUGGCUCAGAACGAACGCUGGCGGCGUGGAUGAGGCAUGCAAGUCGAACGGGAUCCAGCAGGUAGCAAUAUUUGCUGGUGAGAGUGGCGUAAGGGUGAGUAAUGCGUGGGUAAUCUACCUCUAAGAUCGGCAUAGCCCGGCGAAAGCUGGGAUAAUUCCGAAUGUUGUCGGCCGGUGCAUACCGGCCUGUCCAAAGCUGGGGACCGCAAGGCCUGGCACUUGGAGAUGAGCCCACGUCCUAUCAGCUAGUUGGUGAGGUAACGGCUCACCAAGGCUUACGGGUAGCUGGUCUGAGAGGACGAUCAGCCACACUGGGACUGAGACACUGCCCAGACUCCUACGGGAGGCUGCAGUCGAGAAUCUUUCGCAAUGGGCGCAAGCCUGACGAAGCGACGCCGCGUGUAGGAUGAAGGCCUUCGGGUUGUAAACUACUGUCUUUGGGGAGCAACGGCCGGGACGUUAAUACCGUACCGGAUUGAUAGUACUCAAGGAGGAAGCCACGGCUAACUCUGUGCCAGCAGCCGCGGUAAUACAGAGGUGGCGAGCGUUGUUCGGAUUUACUGGGCGUAAAGGGUGCGUAGGCGGUUCUGCGUGUCGGAUGUGAAAUCUCACUGAAAACGGUGAAACUGCAUUCGAAACUGCAGGGCUAGAGUGCAGGAGAGGAUGGCGGAAUUCUCGGUGUAGCGGUGAAAUGCGUUGAUAUCGAGAGGAACGCCGGUGGCGAAGGCGGCCAUCUGGACUGCAACUGACGCUGAGGCACGAAAGCUAGGGGAGCAAACAGGAUUAGAUACCCUGGUAGUCCUAGCCGUAAACGGUGUGAACUUGGUGUGGGAGGAAUUAUCCCCUUCCGUGCCGUAGCUAACGCGAUAAGUUCACCGCCUGGGGAGUACGGCCGCAAGGCUAAAACUCAAAGGAAUUGACGGGGGCCCGCACAAGCGGUGGAGCAUGUGGCUUAAUUCGAUGCAACGCGAAGAACCUUACCUGGGCUUGACAUGUAACUGCAAAUCCGGUGAAAGCCGGACUCCUUCGAGGGUGUUACACAGGUGCUGCAUGGCUGUCGUCAGCUCGUGCCGUGAGGUGUUAGGUUAAGUCCUGCAACGAGCGCAACCCCUGUGAUUAGUUGCUAGUCGCGCAAGCGAAGCACUCUAGUCAGACUGCCUGUGAUAAGCAGGAGGAAGGUGGGGAUGACGUCAAGUCAGUAUGGUCCUUAUGCCCAGGGCUGCACACGUGCUACAAUGUAGGGUACAGAGGGAUGCGAAUCCGCGAGGUGGAGCAAAUCCCAUAAAACCCUACUCAGUUCAGAUUGGAGUCUGCAACUCGACUCCAUGAAGCUGGAAUCGCUAGUAAUGGCGCAUCAGCUACGGCGCCGUGAAUACGUUCCCGGGCCUUGUACACACCGCCCGUCACAUCAUGAAAGCCGAUUGCACCCGAAGUCGCUGUUUCAACCCGCAAGGGGGAUAGGUGCCUAAGGUGUGGUUGGUGAUUGGGAUGAAGUCGUAACAAGGUA